AUUAGUCAAUCGUAGUUCUAUGAUAUUAGUUUAUUAUUAGUGAUGCUAGUGGUGGGUACUAAAUUUUUAUUGUGAAUGUCCUAUAACGCGCAUCAAGUAAAAUCAAAAGACAUUUUUGUGGGCGGGAUUGAUCUUUCGUUCGACAUGCGCUCUGCAGUACAUUUUAGACCGAGGGCGGUAACCUUCCAAUAACCCUUCGUCUGGCUGCAAGGAAUUACGGUUCUUAUCUUUCGUCAGAAGCCGCUAGGCGCUGUGUUUGGUGGGUGUAGUUGCGGCUAAUUGAAAUUUGUUUACGUUUUCGCGUAUACAUUCAAUAUUUUCAAAACUAAUUUAUCACGUUGUUGUUCACUGUUAUGGAAUCUGAUAGCAGUUUGGGCGGAAAACCCUUUAAAAUAACGGAUAAUUUACGGGAAACACGGAAAGGUGUUGUCGCAACUUCGUUAGAGGAUUUAACCUCAAAAGUUCGUGAAAAGUUAGAAACCAUAAGCGGCGAUAAUAUCUUGGUCGUUCUUGAAGCAGACGGCACAGAAAUAGACGACGAAGAAUAUUUUGCGACUUUAGAGCCUAAUACCAGUCUUAUGAUUUUAACUAACGGCCAAAAGUGGCUUCCGUCGUAUCCUCGAUGCGAGUUUAACAGAGAUCAAGUGGAUGAUGGUAAGGGCGGAGAAUUGGCCGGUCUAGUUGGUCGGCUGAAAACCAAUCUUUGUCAUUUAUCGUUACUUGGAGGCGAAGAACUGGAACUGUUAAGCGAUAUGGAUCCGGAAUCCCUUGCGGAUCUGACGUAUCCGGACAAGAUAUUUCUGGAUCAGUUAAAGGAGGCUUCUGGAAGAUUUCUGUGUGAAAAAAGACAAGCCCAGGAUGCGCUCGAUUUGUUGCGAUUGUAUCAGGAAAAGGAAGCCUCCGAGUCUGAAAUUAAGUAAGACGACUUUGAAGGACCAUUACAGUAUUUAUUCUUACAAAUUGAACCCCUUUCAAUGUGGUUUUACCCAAUCUGCAUUCAAUAAGACUGAUGAUUUGCCAAUAAGCAACGGAGGCAUCAAAUUAACAAUUGCUCAAACACAGGAACACGUCACUAUAUUAAUAUUAGAAACACCAGUAGAAUUAUUAUGAUCGACGUUUUGCAUCGUAUAUAAUAAAUUUAGUGGGGGGUAUUUAGAAUAGUUUCUCGGAGAUGAUACGAAAUGGUGUUAAUCAAACUGAUCCAAAACUUCUUAUUACUUAUUUAUUUUAUUUCGUUUGCAUAGACCAAGAAAUUCUGUUUUAAUUUCGCAAAAUACGUUGGUUUUUUUUGUCGAGAACAAUCAGAAAUUUUAAAUAAAUCGAACGGUCCUUUGCAGUCGACUGGUAAAUUGCGAUUGAAGUUUUUCUUAGAAAUUAUAACGUCACAUCCUUCGAUGGUGACAAAAUAACUCAAUUACCUCCGCGUUAUAAAACGGGAUCAAAUAGAGAGGAGUGAUUUCUUUUGGUUGUGUUGGAUAAAAAAAUGUUGUGUAAACUGGAAAUUUUGCAAUUACAGGACUCGUCAGACUACAUUGUAACUGUUUCGUUUUCUACCACCUUGCUUUUGAUUCCACCAUGUUCCUACGCAUUGUUUCGAUGAGACAACAAAAUCUGUCCCAAAUGUAGCUCGUCAACAAUUCGUUCGCCAUAAAUCAAGGGCUCUUAUUUUAUCCUCGUAUAUAUCUUAUAUAGAGGAAGAGCGAAAAAUAAUGUUUUCAUCAUACACUUUCAAAUCAAUAUUUCAAAAUGAAAUCUACAAUCUAUGAAGUGGAGUUCAAUUAUUGAUGCUAACAAGGUCCUUCUUUGUCUACUAACUCUUGUAAGUCUUGAUACCGUAUCAUAGUUCUAAUGACGGUAUUCUGUUUUAUAUAUCUUGUUCAAAUUUUAAUUUACGAAUCUUAUUAUAAAUAGUUUCUAUAAAGUAUCAGUUUAAAACGUUGGAACAAAUUUUCAAAAAUUUAACAGUUUCGUUUUUCUUUCAAUAAACCAGAUCAUGAAAUUUUAAAUGAGAUCAAUCAACAUCAAAUGUGUUUUCCAAUUGUAAAUUAUUUGAACAACAAUAUAAGUAAAAGAAAAAUACAAUUUAAUUUUGUAGACUUUCUCUUGUCAUUGGAGAUAGUAGUUUCAGAUUUCAUUUUUUUUUCAUUUGAAUUAUUUAGUUAAUUAGUUUUAUAUGUGGCUAGCUAGGAUUAUUUUAUUUAUAUCUAUUCAACUUCAGAAGUUCAUCUGAAUCCGUCUUACAGGCAAUAAAGUUUGCUUGAGAGGUAAAUUUCGUUAUCCAACAACCAUCCUAAUACCAAAUCUUUGGAUUAAAUUACCUACGUUACACGUCCUGUCGAUAUCUUAUUUCCCAUUUGUUUACUAUCAUUGGACUUGGAAAAUAUUGUAUUACUUUAAUAUUCAUCAGGGUGGGGGUUGACAAUAUAAUAACCGUCAUCUAAAUACCACUUCCAUAAUAUACGCAACAAGAAAAUUUAAAUAGUCGUAAAACGUCCUUCGCAAAUUUACUUUGUGUUUUUAAUUUAAAAAGUGAGAGAUCUUCGUAUCUGGGAUUAAGAUUUGUUUUUCUUCUACUUACAUACAUAUUUUGUCAAUUUAGUCCAAGUAAUUGACCAUGAUAUUUUUUCGGCAUUAGCAACAUUUAAAUACGAGAUGCUAUUUUAAAUACUCCGAUUUAAGGGCACUUUUUCACCUACCUUGUGAUGUUUAACCCUUUCAAUGAAGAUAUGUAGGCGUUUGACGACAUUUUGUAAUUAAUUUAGCCUGAUGUAGGUGUCCAUUUUGACAUUAUGUUAUCCAUUUUCUAGAACUUAUUUUUGAAAACAAGAUGGCCAAGAACUGUUUAUAUCAAACGGAUAUUUUUAUCAUACUUAUUUAAUAACAACGAACUCACAUUUGGUUGCGAGACAUGUUAAGCUAAGUGCCUUAUUUUAAUGAAUUUAUUCACUUCCUAAUAUAAAACAGAAUACAUAUUUUUGAAAUUAAUUUUUCAAAAUGUGGUUUCUAACAUAUUUUGAUAAUUAUGUUACUCGGUAUGGGAUGUUCGAAAAAUUCUCCAUACACCGCAGAUGAAAUGACUACCAAAAUCUAGUUUUCGAUUUAGACUCUUUAGCGCAUCAUAUGUUAAUGAGAGAGUGAUGAUUGAUUUGAAAACAGUGAAAUAAACUAUAUAUUGGGGCUAGGCUAGACGUUUUCAGGAAACUUUUUUUGACAUUUUUGUGUAAUAAAAAAUACUAGCAACUGAUUUUUUACUAUCUGGCAUUUGCACACUACCACACAAAGUCCACUAAGCAAAAUUCUUUUUUUCUAAACCUUUGACAAGGUUUCUAAGACUCAGUUGUCACAUGUUCGACUCCAAUGUGACCAAAUUUAUUUAGGUUCUUUUAAAAAUAUUUUGGGGGAUCCGCCAUUUGGUCAACAAUUACUUGGUUAUACUUUUUCGAUUUUCAAGCUCUAACGACGAUAAAAUCGUCGGGCGGACAAAGAUAUCUCGCUCUAGAAAGGUCAAAUAUUGAUUUUGUGAAUGUCAUUGACCGAGAACCACACUGCAAGCACAACGAAUGCACGCGCAAAAAUUCAUUAUACGUUCACCAAUUUCGAUUUAUGUCGAAACGUAUUUUUCAUGCGAAUAUUAAAAUUUAUCGAAACCACUUCGCCGAUGAAAUUUUGGUUUCGAGUUAACUACUCAAAGUUAUACUCUUCAGGUUUUUGUUUAGUUUUAACGGCCAUCUUGUUUUAAUUCAUUAAAUAUUGCAGCGCGAUAUGGGAUACGAUUUAUUAGUGAUAAUGACAUAGGAAUUGGGUGUGUAUAGCUGUGAUAAUUAGGUUUUACUCGCUUUCUAUAAUGUAAAUUCGGAUAUUGAUCGAACUUCUCACUAAUAAUAGUUGUCCCAAAGUGUCUUCUUACCGCUGAUAAUAAUAUCCUAACGUAAAGUUUCUCAUCAUUUAUUAAUAUAUUGUUACUGGGUAUAUGAAGCACCUAUUAUUUGGACAUGUAUUUAUCUCGUACCCCUUGUAUACCAUUGAUUAAUAAAACAGUGUUGUA